GCUUGUCUCAAAGAUUAAGCCAUGCAUGUCUAAGUAUAGUACCUUAUACUGCGAAACUGCGAAUGGCUCAUUAAAUCAGUUAUAAUUCAUUUGAUGGUACUUACUACUCGGAUAACCGUAGUAAUUCUAGAGCUAAUACAUGCACAAAUUCCCGUCAGGGAUGUAUUUAUUAGAUUGAAACCAAUGCGGGGUAACCCGGUGUUUGGUGAUUCAUAAUAACUUUCGGAUCGCAUUUGCGAUGCAUCAUUCAAGUUUCUGCCCUAUCAGCUUUGGAUGGUAGGGUAUUGGCCUACCAUGGCAUUAACGGGUAACGGAGGAUUUGGGUUCGAUUCCGGAGAGGGAGCCUGAGAAAUGGCUACCACAUCCAAGGAAGGCAGCAGG
rnacentral:rRNA from 1 species